CCGGACAUUGUUUACAUUAGGUCUCGAGGAGAGCUGGCAGAAUGGCGUCAUUCAAGGGGACACUUUGACAAGUGGGCACUGGAUGCUGAGUAUUGAAGGCGAGGUUGUGUGUGAGGGCAUUCAGCCCAGUUUCCUGUCCGGCCUUGCCACUCUGUUUGUUGCCUAUUACUAGUUUAAUCUUGAGUAUGAGGAGAAAGAAGUUUGUACCUUGGUGUUCAUUCAAAGCGCUUUGUGGGCAUAAAUCCGGAGAGAGGAUCCAAAGCCAAGGGAAAAGUGAAAACAAAAAACAGGACAAGUGAUACAGUCAACCCACAUGUUGCCACUCUUCUGUGCCACGUAAUGGAUUUCCAAUGGAAUUUCUGAAAUUCACACUUUGAAUCCUGGGAUGGAACUUCAUCUGGAGCAUAACUGUUAUUUGGUUGAUUUUUAUCUGUUUUUGAUGGAAAGUUUGUAUGACUUGUUUUGCCAUAUUGGUCUAUUUAUUAAGUGAUGAAAGCUAUCUGAAAGCGUCAUUGUGUUUUUAAAAGGAUUAGUUCACCCAAAAAAUGAAAAUUCAGUCAAUAAUUACUUACAUCUUAAUGUGUGUUGUGAAGAUCUUCGUUCAUCUUCACAACACACAUUAAGAUGUGGCUCAGUGAAGCCUGCAUUUCUAGCAAGAUCA